UUUCUCUGCUUUUCUCUUUCCAUCCCCAAGUUCCAAACAGAGCCAAUACUAAUGGAUCACGGCCCGAAAUCCGAACCAACCAGUAAUAAAAGCCCAGACCGUUUAGCCCAUUAGAAAGUAUAUCAAACCACUAACCACUGAAAAAGCCCAACAAGAAAUGAACGGACAAAUUCUCAGUUUUACAGUUCACCCCUCUCACCUUCCCGCCGGCGGGCUUCAGGAAGAAUAUCCCUUUCACUAUCUGCAGUCCACUUGCUGACCUUUUCCAGUGGUGGAAUGAAAUCGAUAACAGGAAGGUUCUUAGUGCUUACUAAGUGGGGAAAAAGAACUGAUGCUUGGCAAAUGGCUGUUUAGUAAUGGAUACUGAAAGGUCCCUGGAUUCAGGAGGACCUCAAAGCAAAAAGCUCAGCCAGACUGAGAUGAUGUCUACAGCAAACACUUGGUAUCAAGCAUUAGCGCCGUAGUGUGCUUCGUCGUUGACAGGGAAUUUUCCACAUUUUCUUGUCUUUUCCUCUUUUUUUCUAAAGGAACUUUGCAUCCACAAAAACAUGCAAUUUGCUGUACAUUUUUCAUUCUUAGGACAGGACAGUAUCAAGUUUGUUAGAUAAAGCCCGUAUUACGAGGACUUUGUGGUGUGAUGCUGAGAUCUUAAGGCAUUCCAGUGUAUUCAAGAAACGUUAGGUAGAAGUAAAUUUAAAUGAGUAGAAUGAACUCCGUGUAGUGUUUCAACUUUGAAACAAAGACCAUACAAUGUUAAGCAAUCACUUCCUGGCCGGUUCUUUAGGCCCCAAUUUCCAUUAUCAAGGAUUCAAGGGGAAGAAAUAGCAAAUAUUGGGCUAAAAUAACAGUAUAGUUAUAGUACUUUGAAUAAGUGGUGGCUUUACAUGAAGAGCAUAUUUAUAAUAUUCCAUGUUAGAUAUCUACUAUAACAUGAAGAUUAUAUUUACAAAUUCAAGGGAGAACAUAUUUGCUAUAGAGUCAGCCGCGCCCACCCACCCCCCCCCCCCCCCCCCCCCCCCCCCCCCCUGCCCUUCCAAACUUAGUCAAUUGUAAGUGAAAGUCGAUAAAAUUAUUGCAGUAAAAAUACCCUUAGCUUUAUGUAAAGGUCGAGGAUAUCCACAUUUAGUUUAAAAAAUAGAAUAUUAGCUAGAUCGGCAUGGUUUUAAAUUAAAUCCACCAAGCCAAGAAGUUGGACUUCAAUUUUUCAUUUAUCCUAUAAUGUGGAGUGCAAUUUUGUUCUCCCUCCUUAAAAGAGGGUGAACGUUACCCUCCCUCUUAUUGGUUGAAAUGGUGUAGGUCUCGCCCCUGCAAUACACUUUUUGAUAAGCAUGACGUCACUUGGUGAUGGGAUCCACAUCAUUUAAACCAAUAGGAAGGAGGGUAAUGUUCACCUCUUUUAAGGAGGAUGAACAAAAUUAAAUUCUGUAAUUUGGGAGGGGUCUAGCAGGGAUGCAUAAGUAAGUUUUAUUUUUUAUAUAUAAAGAGUAAAACUUAUGUUAUCAACUUGCUAAUCAAUUGCUUGGGAGUAAACAAAGUAAUGCAGCUCUGAUGAUCCUGUGAUAUGACAGAUACCUUGGACCGAAACAAACAAAAAAUUCUUUAUGUACUGGUUCUUUACCCUAAUUGUGGUAUCAGGUAUAUUUUACAUGCUUUCCUUCGUGGAUAUUAUGAUAUCGUAUUAAGCCGAAUGCCAAAGUAAAGUAGAAUACUGUCAGCAGAUAUUUGAAUAUCCAUUCCUUCCUCUUUGCGCAGACUUGGAUUGCUUUUGCUUAUGUUUGGUGUGGGAACAUUGAUUCAACUAACACAAGAAUCCCAUGCUGAAUUUUCAGUGGAAAAAAGAAGCACCAGGACUAGCCAGUUGGCACUGCUGAAUUGGCUAUUUUGUUUGAAAAGAGCAAAUUUCAAGUAGGAAAGACCAUGGUAUAAAGCAGAAAGUUAAUCUAAGCUCUAAUAGCAUAUGGAGGAUUUACAGAGGUUUCUGGUGAUGCGAUGUUCUUCUCUUGGAGCUCCUUUAUUACUCCUUUUCUGCCUGGACUGCUGGAACUUUGCUUUAUCCUCCUAAAAGGCGCAAAGUAAACAAGAUCUCUUUCUUUCAAAAGGGGGAUGGUGAACUUGUUAUCAAUACGGAUCUCGGAGGCUUAAUGCGCUUUUAGUUGUAACUGUUACUGGUGAAAUCCUUUGUAUCCUGAUUGACUGGUUCUCAUUUGAAACCCAAGUAGAGUGAUAAAUUUAUGGACGCAAAUGAGUAGGAUUAACACGUUGCAGUGUUCGCAAUCUCUGACCGAGCAAUGGUAAGAAACAUUUCAUAGGGGGUCUCAUUUGAAACCCAAUCAAACUUGCAGUUGUUCCUGAUUUUUUUAUUAUGGUAGGGGGUCUGGUAUUGGGAUGCAUAAAUAAGUUGUAAAUACAAGGUAAUCUACUUGAGUUGUGAUCGGACAACUAAUCAGAUACGUAGAAUAAAACAAAUAAAAGCUGAAGUUCUUCAGUA